rnacentral:rRNA from 1 species
GACGAACGCUGGCGGCGCGCCUAACACAUGCAAGUCGAACGAGCGAGAGAGAGAUUGCUUUCUCGAGCGAGUGGCGAACGGGUGAGUAACGCGUGAGGAGCCUGCCUCAAAGAGCGGGACAACAGUUGGAAACGAGUGCGAAUACCGCAUAAACACACGGGACGGAAUAGACCAGAGGGAAAAAGAGCAAUUCGCUUUGAGAUGGCCUCGCGUCCGAUUAUCUAGUUGGUGAGGUAAUGGCCCACCAAGGCGACGAGCGGUAGCUGGACUGAGAGGUUGAACGGACACAUUGGGACUGAGACCCGGCCCAGACUCCUACGGGAGGCAGCAGUGGGGAAUAUUGAACGAUGGGGGAAACCCUGAUGCAGCGACGCCGCGUGGAGGAAGAAGGUCUUCGGAUUGUAAACUCCUGUUGUUGGCGAAGAUAAUGACGGUACCCAACAAGGAAGUGACGGCUAACUACGUG